AUACGAAGGGUGCAAGCGUUAAUCGGAAUUGCUGGGCGUAAAGCGCGCGUAGGCGGUUGGAUAAGUCGGAUGUGAAAGCCCCGGGCUCAACCUGGGAACUGCAUUCGAAACUGUCCGGCUAGAGUAUGGUAGAGGGAAGCGGAAUUCCACAUGUAGCGGUGAAAUGCGUAGAUAUGUGGAGGAACACUAGUGGCGAAGGCGGCUUCCUGGACCAAUACUGACGCUGAGGUGCGAAAGCGUGGGGAGCAAACAGGAUUAGAAACCCUAGUAGUCC
rnacentral:rRNA from 1 species